UUGGAGGGCAAGUCUGGUGCCAGCAGCCGCGGUAAUUCCAGCUCCAAUAGCGUAUAUUAAAGUUGUUGCAGUUAAAAAGCUCGUAGUUGAAUUUCGGGAUCAGCAUGUCGGUCGUGCCUCUGGUACGUACUGGUAUCGUUGAUUUCUACCUUCUGACGAACCGUGAUGUCAUUAAUUUGGUGUCAUGGGAAAUCAGGACUGUUACUUUGAAAAAAUUAGAGUGUUUAAAGCAGGCACACGCUUGAAUACAUUAGCAUGGAAUAAUGAAAUGGGACGUUUGAUCCUAUUUUGUUGGUUUCUAGGAUUGACGUAAUGAUUAAUAGGGAUAGUUGGGGGCAUUAGUAUUCAAUUGUCAGAGGUGAAAUUCUUGGAUUUAUUGAAGACUAACUACUGCGAAAGCAUUUGCCAAGGAUGUUUUCAUUAAUCAAGAACGAAAGUUAGGGGAUCGAAGACGAUCAGAUACCGUCGUAGUCUUAACCAUAAACUAUGCCGACUAGGGAUCGGAUGAUGCUAAUUUUUUAAUGACUCAUUCGGCGCCUUACGGGAAAC
rnacentral:rRNA from 1 species